CAGAUCCCUACAGGACACACAAGCAAGACCUCUGCCAAAGAGGGGUCAUCCCAGGGCAGAGGGUGGGGCUCAGGCCCAGCCUUAAGGGCAGACUGGGCCAGGACCCGACUUGGGAGGGCUCAGGGGAGCCUCAAGCCCUGGGGAAGCCCCUCCCUCCACUGAAAUGAGUGCCUCCCAUAAGGAGCUGCAAGACCUUGUCUGACCCAGCCUCCUGGAGGGGUCCGGUGACCCUCAUGGGGAAGGUCACUGAAGCCCCAGUGGGCUAGCUCGAGCCACCAGCCCCAGCCUGGAAGGCCAGGUCCUCCCAUGCCUAGUUUCCCCACAGAUCUCUCUCGGGCUCUCCCUGUGCCUGUGGGACAUGUAUUUGCUGGAAGGGGAACAGAUGUUGAUGCUGAUAACAAGCACUACCUUUAAGGUUCAGAGGAGGCCCUCAAGGGCACUGGAGGAGCCAGACCCAUUUGUGAGAGCCUCUGCCCCUCCCUGCAAGCGCUGACAGCCUCAGAGAGCAGCAGAGGCCCCUCACUCCUGCAGACUCCUCCAGAGGUGCCAGGACAACAAGCCUUGAGCCAGGGAGACAAGGGAAUCAGUGUCU
rnacentral:sRNA from 1 species